GAGACGCAGAAACCCAGAAAAAACGCGAAAAUUCCCAGAAAACCCAACCCUUCGCGUCUCCUCCGCACGCGUUUCUCGAAAACCCCCUUACCCAGACGCGACCCUCCGACGGAAACCCCGCGUCUCCCACUCGCGCGUGGACGAGUCACAACGGACACCUGCCAGCAAAACAGUGAGCAAGGCGACACAAAAUCGUCCUAUUUUUCCAUCAUCUAUAUAAACCCCAUUCCAUUUUCAGUUCAGGGGGAAGGAAAUUCUGAAAAAAGAAAAAGAAAAGGGUUAGCGGUUUUAGAUUGGAACUUUGGUUGGAAUUCUUUUAGAGUUUUGGGGAGUUAGAGGUUGGAGGAUUUUCUCGAAAUUUGGAGAGUUCUAUCACAAAAAGGGUAAGACGAGUUUUGAGAAGAAGAAUCUUGAAAACAUUUUGGUUCUCUUCUGCUGAGAACAGUGGAAUGGGAGAUUUUUGGAGUUAGAAAUUUGGUUAGCAAUUUUGGGGGUUGACAUUUUUCAUGGAAAAAUUCUGAAAGGUUGGGGAAAAGAUUUUCGAAAUAAAAAAAUGAAAGGAGGGAAAGUCCUUGCUUUACUGUUCGUUGAAAGAAAGGUUUAGGAUUGGCGAGCUGUUCGAUUCCGCGACUCGCGUUUCACCAUUCUGUGUUGGUGUUUUUCGCUCGUCUUGGUUCUGCUGCCCCGGAAAAGAGCCGUAAAGGCUCAAUUUCUUCAUCAGUCAAAGCAAGCAUGCGAGAGUCAAAUGCCAUGAAUAUUGAAGAAUUUGAAGAAGCGGAUUAGGAGACCCGUUGAAUUUCUUUAUUUUGUAUUGUACUUUUAUUUUUGUAAUGGGCAUAAGCCCUUGUCGCUUUACUUUCUCUAUAUUUCGUAUGCUUAGUCUAGGACAGGUAAAUGAGUCGAAAACCCCAAAAAACAGGUGGGUCCAAAACUCGGUCAAGACGAACAGAAUUCGAGUUUGGACUCAAAUCUCUCUCUCUUUAUUACUUGCUUAUGUGCAUUUGUUUAUAU